ACUAUCAUUAACUGAAUCCAUAGGUUAAUGAGGCGAACCGGGGGAACUGAAACAUCUAAGUACCCCGAGGAAAAGAAAUCAACCGAGAUUCCCCCAGUAGCGGCGAGCGAACGGGGAGGAGCCCAGAGCCUGAAUCAGUGUGUGUGUUAGUGGAAGCGUCUGGAAAGGCGCGCGAUACAGGGUGACAGCCCCGUACACAAAAAUGCACAUACUGUGAGCUCGAUGAGUAGGGCGGGACACGUGGUAUCCUGUCUGAAUAUGGGGGGACCAUCCUCCAAGGCUAAAUACUCCUGACUGACCGAUAGUGAACCAGUACCGUGAGGGAAAGGCGAAAAGAACCCCGGCGAGGGGAGUGAAAAAGAACCUGAAACCGUGUACGUACAAGCAGUGGGAGCCUCUUUUAUGGGGUGACUGCGUACCUUUUGUAUAAUGGGUCAGCGACUUAUAUUCUGUAGCAAGGUUAACCGAAUAGGGGAGCCGAAGGGAAACCGAGUCUUAACUGGGCGUUAAGUUGCAGGGUAUAGACCCGAAACCCGGUGAUCUAGCCAUGGGCAGGUUGAAGGUUGGGUAACACUAACUGGAGGACCGAACCGACUAAUGUUGAAAAAUUAGCGGAUGACUUGUGGCUGGGGGUGAAAGGCCAAUCAAACCGGGAGAUAGCUGGUUCUCCCCGAAAGCUAUUUAGGUAGCGCCUCGUGAACUCAUCUCCGGGGGUAGAGCACUGUUUCGGCAAGGGGGUCAUCCCGACUUACCAACCCGAUGCAAACUGCGAAUACCGGAGAAUGUUAUCACGGGAGACACACGGCGGGUGCUAACGUCCGUCGUGAAGAGGGAAACAACCCAGACCGCCAGCUAAGGUCCCAAAGUCAUGGUUAAGUGGGAAACGAUGUGGGAAGGCCCAGACAGCCAGGAUGUUGGCUUAGAAGCAGCCAUCAUUUAAAGAAAGCGUAAUAGCUCACUGGUCGAGUCGGCCUGCGCGGAAGAUGUAACGGGGCUAAACCAUGCACCGAAGCUGCGGCAGCGACACUAUGUGUUGUUGGGUAGGGGAGCGUUCUGUAAGCCUGUGAAGGUGUGCUGUGAGGCAUGCUGGAGGUAUCAGAAGUGCGAAUGCUGACAUAAGUAACGAUAAAGCGGGUGAAAAGCCCGCUCGCCGGAAGACCAAGGGUUCCUGUCCAACGUUAAUCGGGGCAGGGUGAGUCGACCCCUAAGGCGAGGCCGAAAGGCGUAGUCGAUGGGAAACAGGUUAAUAUUCCUGUACUUGGUGUUACUGCGAAGGGGGGACGGAGAAGGCUAUGUUGGCCGGGCGACGGUUGUCCCGGUUUAAGCGUGUAGGCUGGUUUUCCAGGCAAAUCCGGAAAAUCAAGGCUGAGGCGUGAUGACGAGGCACUACGGUGCUGAAGCAACAAAUGCCCUGCUUCCAGGAAAAGCCUCUAAGCAUCAGGUAACAUCAAAUCGUACCCCAAACCGACACAGGUGGUCAGGUAGAGAAUACCAAGGCGCUUGAGAGAACUCGGGUGAAGGAACUAGGCAAAAUGGUGCCGUAACUUCGGGAGAAGGCACGCUGAUAUGUAGGUGAAGUCCCUCGCGGAUGGAGCUGAAAUCAGUCGAAGAUACCAGCUGGCUGCAACUGUUUAUUAAAAACACAGCACUGUGCAAACACGAAAGUGGACGUAUACGGUGUGACGCCUGCCCGGUGCCGGAAGGUUAAUUGAUGGGGUCAGCGCAAGCGAAGCUCUUGAUCGAAGCCCCGGUAAACGGCGGCCGUAACUAUAACGGUCCUAAGGUAGCGAAAUUCCUUGUCGGGUAAGUUCCGACCUGCACGAAUGGCGUAAUGAUGGCCAGGCUGUCUCCACCCGAGACUCAGUGAAAUUGAACUCGCUGUGAAGAUGCAGUGUACCCGCGGCAAGACGGAAAGACCCCGUGAACCUUUACUAUAGCUUGACACUGAACAUUGAGCCUUGAUGUGUAGGAUAGGUGGGAGGCUUAGAAGUGUGGACGCCAGUCUGCAUGGAGCCGACCUUGAAAUACCACCCUUUAAUGUUUGAUGUUCUAACGUUGACCCGUGAUCCGGGUUGCGGACAGUGUCUGGUGGGUAGUUUGACUGGGGCGGUCUCCUCCUAAAGAGUAACGGAGGAGCACGAAGGUUGGCUAAUCCUGGUCGGACAUCAGGAGGUUAGUGCAAUGGCAUAAGCCAGCUUGACUGCGAGCGUGACGGCGCGAGCAGGUGCGAAAGCAGGUCAUAGUGAUCCGGUGGUUCUGAAUGGAAGGGCCAUCGCUCAACGGAUAAAAGGUACUCCGGGGAUAACAGGCUGAUACCGCCCAAGAGUUCAUAUCGACGGCGGUGUUUGGCACCUCGAUGUCGGCUCAUCACAUCCUGGGGCUGAAGUAGGUCCCAAGGGUAUGGCUGUUCGCCAUUUAAAGUGGUACGCGAGCUGGGUUUAGAACGUCGUGAGACAGUUCGGUCCCUAUCUGCCGUGGGCGCUGGAGAACUGAGGGGGGCUGCUCCUAGUACGAGAGGACCGGAGUGGACGCAUCACUGGUGUUCGGGUUGUCAUGCCAAUGGCACUGCCCGGUAGCUAAAUGCGGAAGAGAUAAGUGCUGAAAGCAUCUAAGCACGAAACUUGCCCCGAGAUGAGUUCU
rnacentral:rRNA from 1 species